rnacentral:rRNA from 1 species
CACCNAUUGCGAAGGCAGGUUACUAAGCAACAACUGACGCUGAUGGACGAAAGCGUGGGGAGCGAACAGGAUUAGAUACNNUGGUANNCCACNNNNUAAACGAUGCUAACUNGUUUUUGGAAUGUAAGUUUCAGAGACUAAGCGAAAGUGAUAAGUUAGCCACCUGGGGAGUACGAACGCAAGUUUGAAACUCAAAGGAAUUGACGGGGGCCCGCACAAGCGGUGGAUUAUGUGGUUUAAUUCGAUGAUACGCGAGGAACCUUACCAAGGCUUAAAUGGGAAAUGACAGGUUUAGAAAUAGACUUUUCUUCGGACAUUUUUCAAGGUGCUGCAUGGUUGUCGUCAGCUCGUGCCGUGAGGUGUUAGGUUAAGUCCUGCAACGAGCGCAACCCCUGUCACUAGUUGCCAUCAUUAAGUUGGGGACUCUAGUGAGACUGCCUACGCAAGUAGAGAGGAAGGUGGGGAUGACGUCAAAUCAUCACGGCCCUUACGCCUUGGGCCACACACGUAAUACAAUGGCCGGUACAGAGGGCAGCUACACUGCGAAGUGAUGCAAAUCUCGAAAGCCGGUCUCAGUUCGGAUUGGAGUCUGCAACUCGACUCUAUGAAGCUGGAAUCGCUAGUAAUCGCGCAUCAGCCAUGGCGCGGUGAAUACGUUCCCGGGCCUUGUACACACCGCCCGUCAAGCCAUGGAAGUCUGGGGUACCUGAAGUCGGUGACCGUAACAGGAGCUGCCUAGGGUAAAACAGGUAACUAGGGCU